UUGCAAUAUGGAGCAAGUGCAAUUACUUUUAAUUACAUGCAAUAGCAAUGGAACGUUAAUGUGAUAUUAGGUAGGUUUAGUUUUAGCAGUUUCUGACAUGAAAACAAGUGCAAUAUAUUCUACACAACCCAGUGGCUUUAAACGACUGAAUGAAUACGACGACAGUGUUUUGAAAAUUUCGUCUUUUUCGUUACGUAAAUACAAAUUGGGACUUGUACAAUUUAUAAGCAACAAUGGGAAACAAGCACGUAAACAGUCUUGUCCCUUAAAUACCAGUUGUGUGUAAACGAAUGGAAAUAAAACCACAAUCCCAGAAAUAUUUAAAAAUCAAUUCAUCUGGCACCACUGAAUGCUUGGUGGAUGAUUCUUCAUCUAGUCAAUGACCCAAUGUAAUAAGCAAAACAACGAGGAAGUGCAUCUACGUAUAUACAUAUGUGUAUGCUAUGCCUGCUAUGUACGUAUGUACAUAUGUGUAUUUUGUCCUGAUUCGUCUUUGUUCGUCUUUGUGCCUAUUCUUUUCAAUAGUUAGCGGACGAUAAUCAAACACCUUAUACAGCCUGAACUGUGAACAAAACGAUGUAAAUGUGCCACCAAUAAGCUAAUGUGACUGCCGUGCCGUGAUUUAAACAGGUGCAAUACUUCCAACCAACUGUAAUAAUGUAUGGUGUGUUACGCAAAUUUAGUCUCUGUGGCAGAGUCCUUCCGAUAAUUCGAAGCUCAAAAGUGGACUCAAAUCAAUAAACAGUACGAUCAAAUGGCUUUAAGUAUUUAAAAAUUUCUUUUUUCAUACUAUGACAACCUGGGACUCGUGCAAUUAAAAACGUCAGGGGCAAGUGCAAUUUAAAUGUAAUAGUGUUACGACUUGUGGCAAGUGCAAUGUUCAUCAAUCGAUGCAAUAAACCAAAUAUUUAUUAUAUAAAUUCAUUAGAUUUUCCAGUGCAUAUACAUAUCUAUGUUAGUUUGAAGAUUAGUGCAGUAUUUUCUCCCUUUACCCUAUCUUACUGUACCAUGCGUUCUGUCAUACGUAACCAAAUCAAUGAAAACCAGAGUUGGUUGAUGGCCUCCCUUGUCUGUACGUAUGUGCGUAUGUACGUAUGUACGUAAGUGUGUUUUUGUUUUGUUUUCGUUAUUCUUAUUCCGGACAACCAAGGCUUGGUUUAUUCUUCUUUUCUUUGUCUAUGCUUAAUAGAUGGGCAAAUUUUCAAAUAUAUAAAUAUAAAACGUGCAACAAGAAAUUUAUCAAAAAAAAAGCCGGGAGCAGUGCAAUAACAAGGCCACAAGGCUACUGUGCCUUAGUUAAUAUAAUUGCAAUAUAAUUGGAAUUCGGUAAUUAUGAUUGUCUAUUGCUACAAAGGCGCUGCUAUAAUAAUAAGCACAGUGGUGAUUCUACUAUUUAAGUGGGAAGUUGGCACUAAUCUUCAAAUUGUUGUUGGGAUAUGUGCAAUUAUUCUUCUUUCUGGACUGCAGGUCCAACCAACGCAAUAACCGGUGUGUUCGUGUUAAAAAAUUUGUGCAAUAUGUUUAGAACGUAGUACAAUUUUUUCAAUUUAGUGCAAUAAUGCGAUAUUUUAAUAUCGUACGAUAUUAUCAAUCCGUGCAAUAAGCUCGAUAUUUAAUUAAUUAGAAUUAUGGGCAGUAAUUUUUAGCUGAAAUAAGUGCAAUACAUCUGUGUCUGUGUGUGCAAUAUUCUUUACGGUCUUUAAGGCUUUUAAUGUGCAAUAAAUAAUUUCUCUGUA